rnacentral:rRNA from 1 species
CGAAAGCCUGACGGAGCAAUACCGCGUGAGGGAUGAAGGCUCGUGGGUCGUAAACCUCUUUUCCCAAGGAAGAAGUUCUGACGGUACUUGGGGAAUAAGCAUCGGCUAAUUCCGUGCCAGCAGCCGCGGUAAUACGGGAGAUGCGAGCGUUAUCCGGAAUCACUGGGCGUAAAGCGUCUGCAGGUUGUUUAGUAAGUCUGCCGUUAAAGACUGAAGCUUAACUUCAGGAGUGCAGCAGAAACUGCUAGACUUGAGUAUGGUAGGGGUAGGAGGAAUUUCUAGUGUAGCGGUGAAAUGCGUAGAUAUUAGGAAGAACACCAUUAGCGAAGGCGUCCUACUGGGCCAUUACUGACACUCAGAGACGAAAGCUAGGGUAGCAAACGGGAUUAGAUACCCCGGUAGUCCUAGCCGUAAACGAUGGAUACUAGAUGUUGCGGGUUUACCUGCGGUGUCGUAGCUAACGCGUUAAGUAUCCCGCCUGGGGAGUACGCACGCAAGUGUGAAACUCAAAGGAAUUGACGGGGGCCCGCACAAGCGGUGGAGCAUGUGGUUUAAUUCGAUGCAACGCGAAGAACCUUACCAGGAUUUGACAUACUCGGAAUUUCUUAUAAUAGAGAAAGUGCCUUCGGGAGCCGAGAUACAGGUGGUGCAUGGCUGUCGUCAGCUCGUGUCGUGAGAUGUUGGGUUAAGUCCCGCAACGAGCGCAACCCUUGUCUUUAUUUGCCAUUCUUAAGUGGGGGACUAUAGAGAUACUGCCCGUGAAAAGCGGGAGGAAGGUAAGGAUGACGUCAAGUCAGCAUGCCCCUUAUAUCCUGGGCUACACACGUGCUACAAUGACUAAGACAAUGAGAAGCAAGCUUGCGAAAGUUAGCAAAUCUCCGAAACUUAGUCCAAGUUCGGAUUGCAG